rnacentral:lncRNA from 1 species
UCUGCCAAAGUUGUCUUAUAUAUGUAGCGCACUGAAGGCCACUACCAAUCGACAAUGCUUUUUCAGAGAUUAUUUAAAUCGUGAAGGGAAUUCUUUCGCCUAAAUACGGAAAGAACACACAAUUUAUCUUGAAAAUAACAAUAAAAUUGUAUUGCAACAGUCUUAUAUGUGUACUUUUUCGCGGAAGUAACACAUACGUGAUCCUAUUCUUUUGUUUCUUCCAUGCUCGUUCUUCUCUAUCUGCGCGCGAAAUUUGCGUCCAAGAUACGGCAACAUUGUAAGUAUGACAAGCAAUUUAUCAGCAAUAAUGGCAAUGUUGAUAUCUUAUUUACGGUACCUGACAAAAUUUUCUAUUUAGGCGCCCCGUCGUUGAUGCACAACGUGAUGUUCUAAGGAAGGAGGACGAAGCAGCACUGGCCCAGAACGCAGGAGAUGUCCUGCACACGGUUGGAAAGCUCCUGCAAGGACAGCUGUCCGGAGCCACUCCAGAAAAUCGGGAGAGCAUACUGAAUGCCCUGAAGACGAUUAAUACGGCCGCCUUGGAUCCAAAUGAUACUGAGCAGUAUUUCAUUCUCAUUUUUAUCAAGGCAAUAGUUGCAGCAGCUAUCAGCACCGGUGUAUCAGUUGGUGCAGGCCUUGAAUUCAACAAAGCGUUGAAGAAGGGCUUCAAGAAAAGGGGCUAAGGAAAAUGAUUUGCGCGUCUGACGGAUCAAAUAAAGCGUAAUCCAAACAUC